rnacentral:rRNA from 1 species
UCGCCUGUUUUUCAAAAACAUUUUCAUUAAAAUCUUUAAUGAUAAAAUCUGCUCAAUGAAACUUAAAUAGCCGCAAAAGUGCUAAGGUAGCAUAAUCAUUCGUUUUUUAAUUGAAAACUAGUACAAAAGAUUAAACUUUUUAAAUUAUUUAUCAAUUAUAACUUUUCAAAUUUUUCCAAAUGUAAAAAAACAUUUAUUUCUAAGAAAGACGACAAGACCCUAUUGAACUUAACUAAAGUUAAACUGGGGAAGUUAAUUAAUUAAAACUUUAAUUUAACUUACCAAAAAGACCUAUUAAAAUUAAUUUAAUAAUCAAGUUACCAUAGGGAUAACAGCGUAAUAAAUAUUUAAAGAUCUUAUUUUAAUAAAAGUUUGCGACCUCGAUGUUGAAUUAAUUACCUAUAUUACGCAAUAGUAAUAAUAGUAAGUCUGUUCGACUUUUAAAAAAUUACAUGAUCUGAGUUCAAACCGGA